GCAAGUCGAACGGUAGAAAGGUGCUUGCACUACCUGAGAGUGGCGAACGGGUGAGUAACGCGUAGAUGAUCUACCCUUCGGUUGGGGAUAGCUCAUGGAAACAUGGGGUAAUACCGAAUAAGAUCCUUAGGCUAUGGCUAUAGGAUGAAAGGGGCUUCGGCCUCGUCGAGGGAUGAGUCUGCGUAUGAUUAGCUAGUUGGUGUGGUAAAGGCGCACCAAGGCGACGAUCAUUAGCCGGCCUGAGAGGGUGACC
rnacentral:rRNA from 1 species